rnacentral:rRNA from 1 species
GACGAACGCUGGCGGCGUGCCUAACACAUGCAAGUCGAGCGAGGGACUUCGGUCCCUAGCGGCGGACGGGUGAGUAAUGCGUAGGAAGCUACCCGAUAGAGGGGGAUACCAGUUGGAAACGACUGUUAAUACCGCAUAAUGUCUACGGACCAAAGUGUGGGACCUUCGGGCCACAUGCUAUCGGAUGCGCCUACGUGGGAUUAGCUAGUUGGUGAGGUAAUGGCUCACCAAGGCGACGAUCCCUAGCUGGUUUGAGAGGAUGAUCAGCCACACUGGAACUGAGACACGGUCCAGACUCCUACGGGAGGCAGCAGUGGGGAAUAUUGGACAAUGGGCGCAAGCCUGAUCCAGCCAUGCCGCGUGUGUGAAGAAGGCCUUCGGGUUGUAAAGCACUUUCAGUAGGGAGGAAGCGUUGUGUGUUAAUAGUACACAGCGUUGACGUUACCUACAGAAGAAGCACCGGCUAACUCUGUGCCAGCAGCCGCGGUAACAC